rnacentral:rRNA from 1 species
AUUGAUCGCUGGCGGCAGGCCUAACACAUGCAAGUCGAACGAGUGGCGGACGGGUGAGUAAUGUCUGGGAAACUGCCUGAUGGAGGGGGAUAACUACUGGAAACGGUAGCUAAUACCGCAUACCAUCAGAUGUGCCCAGAUGGGAUUAGCUUGUUGGUGGGGUAACGGCUCACCAAGGCGACGAUCCCUAGCUGGUCUGAGAGGAUGACCAGCAACACUGGACCUGAGGCACGGUCCCGAUUCUUACGGGCGGCAGCAGUGGCGAAUAUCGGACAGUUGGCGCAAUCAUGAUGCAGCCGUGCAGCGUGGAUGAAGAAGGCCUUCGGGUUGUAAAGUACUUUCAGAGGGGAGGCGUUACCCGCAGAAGAAGCACCGGAUAACUCCGUGCCAGCAGACGCGGUAAUAC